rnacentral:rRNA from 1 species
CCUACGGGAGGCAGCAGUGGGGAAUAUUGGGCAAUGGGCGCAAGCCUGACCCAGCAACGCCGCGUGAAGGAAGAAGGCUUUCGGGUUGUAAACUUCUUUUCUCAGGGACGAAGCAAGUGACGGUACAGGAGGAAUAAGCCACGGCUAACUACGUGCCAGCAGCCGCGGUAAUUCGUAGGUUGCAAGCGUUAUACGGAUUUACUGGGAGAAAAGGGGGUGUAGGCGGGGACGCAAGUCAGAUGUGAAAACCACGGGCUCAACCUGUGGCCUGCAUUUGAAACUGUGUUUCUUGAGUACAGGAGAGGCAGACGGAAUUCCUAGUGUAGCGGUGAAAUGCGUAGAUAUUAGGAGGAACACCAGUGGCGAAGGCGGUCUGCUGGACAGCAACUGACGCUGAGGCGCGAAAGCGUGGGGAGCAAACAGGAUUAGAUACCCCAGUAGUC